GGGACACAAACUCAGGAGCGUUGCUGUUUGGAUUUACACUAAAUAUGAAGAAGCAGAAUUGAGGGUCGUCAGCAUCUGGAUUAAAAUUGUGUCACUUUCAUUGAUGCAAAUAUGUGUAUUUCAUUCCCUUGAAUUACAGACAAUCUCCCACAGUGGUGGCGAAAGGACACUCAACCUACUUUUGACUCCUCCUCUAGUAAUGCUUGGUGAAAAAGAGCCUGUGACAGUUGGAUACUGAUGAUCAGCCUUGAGGAUCACAUGUGGGGGCAUCCACCCAACCUUUGUGACAGGGCUUGCUGUUUACAGUGUUCACAUCUUUAACUGGGGAGCUGCCUGUACAAGAUGCUUCUUUUGAAUCAACCCAGAAAGAGGAACAAGAGCCGUGUGGGGGACUCGUCUCCAAGAGGACAGGGAGAGUCAUUCAGAAGAAAUCUGUCACAAUCAACGAGGGAGAGGUCUCUCCCCAGGUUAUUUGGAAUUUUUUCUCUUUAAUUUUGUACA